CCUGCCGGACCUGACUGCUAUCGGAUCGAUACUAAGCCAUGCGAGUCUUUGUAGUAAUACAAGGCAUACGGCUCAGUAACACGUAGUCAACCUACCCUAUGGACAAGAAUAAUCUCGGGAAACUGGGCAUAAUUCUUGAUAGAUCAUAAUGCCUGGAAUGGUUUAUGGUUAAAAUGAUUCGUCGCCAUAGGAUGGGACUGCGGCCUAUCAGCUUGUUGGUGAGGUAAUGGCCCACCAAGGCGAUUACAGGUACGGGCUCUGAGAGGAGAAGCCCGGAGAUGGGUACUGAGACACGGACCCAGGCCCUAUGGGGCGCAGCAGGCGAGAAAACUUUGCAAUGUGCGAAAGCACGACAAGGUUAAUCCGAGUGAUUUCUGCUAAAGAAAUCUUUUGCCAGUCAUAAAACCACUGGUGAAUAAGGGGUGGGCAAGUUCUGGUGUCAGCCGCCGCGGUAAAACCAGCACCUCAAGUGGUCAGGAUGAUUAUUGGGCCUAAAGCAUCCGUAGCCGGCUUUGUAAGUUUUCGGUUAAAUCCAUGUGCUCAACGCAUGAGCUGCCGAAAAUACUGCAUAGCUAGGGAGUGGGAGAGGUAGACGGUACUCAGUAGGAAGGGGUAAAAUCCUUUGAUCUAUUGAUGACCACCUGUGGCGAAGGCGGUCUACCAGAACACGUUCGACGGUGAGGGAUGAAAGCUGGGGGAGCAAACCGGAUUAGAUACCCGGGUAGUCCCAGCUGUAAACGAUGCAGACUCGAUGAUGCAUUGGCAUAAUAGCCAGUGCAGUGUCGCAGGGAAGCCGUUAAGUCUGCCGCCUGGGAAGUACGUACGCAAGUAUGAAACUUAAGGAAUUGGCGGGGGAGCACCACAAG
rnacentral:rRNA from 1 species